ACCUCGGUCGUGUAGUGGUAGCACUCGCCCCCCGCACGGGUGAAACGUGGGUUCAACUUCCGCCUGAGGUC